CCUGGAGGUCCUCUCCUCUGUGGUGUAGUGAUCAGUCACAGUCACGUAGCUUUCUGUUACCUGGAGGUCCUCUCCUCUGUGGUGUAGUGAGUAGUCACAUAGCUUUCUGUUACCCUGGAGGUCCACUCCUCUGGGGUGUAGUGAACAGUCACAGUCACGUAGCUUUCUGUUACCUGGAGGUCCUCUCCUCUGUGGUGUAGUGAUCAGUCACAGUCACGUAGCUUUCUGUUACCUGGAGGUCCUCUCCUCUGUGGUGUAGUGAUCAGUCACAGUCACGUAGCUUUCUGUUACCUGGAGGUCCUCUCCUCUGUGGUGUAGUGAGUAGUCACAUAGCUUUCUGUUACCUGGAGGUCCUCUCCUCUGUGGUGUAGUGAGUAGUCACGUAGCUUUCUGUUAUCCUGGAGGUCCUCUCCUCUGUGGUGUAGUGAGUAGUCAGUCACAUAGCUUUCUGUUACCCUGGAGGUCCUCUCCUCUGUGGUGUAGUGAGCAGUCACAGUCACAUAGCUUUCUGUUACCCUGGAGGUCCACUCCUCUGUGGUGUAGUGAGCAGUCACAGUCACGUAGCUUUCUGUUAUCCUGGAGGUCCUCUCCUCUGUGGUGUAGUGAGUAGUCACAUAGCUUUCUGUUAUCCUGGAGGUCCACUCCUCUGUGGUGUAGUGAACAGUCACAGUCACGUAGCUUUCUGUUACCCUGGAGGUCCACUCCUCUGUGGUGUAGUGAGCAGUCACAGUCACGUAGCUUUCUGUUACCCUGGAGGUCCUCUCCUCUGUGGUGUAGUGAUCAGUCACAGUCACGUAGCUUUCUGUUACCUGGAGGCCCUCUCCUCUGUGGUGUAGUGAGUAGUCACAUAGCUUUCUGUUACCCUGGAGGUCCACUCCUCUGUGGUGUAGUGAGCAGUCACAGUCACGUAGCUUUCUGUUACCCUGGAGGGCCACUCCUCUGUGGUGUAGUGAGUAGUCAGUCACGUAGCUUUCUGUUACCCUGGAGGUCCACUCCUCUGUGGUGUAGUGAGUAGUCAGUCACAUAGCUUUCUGUUACCCUGGAGGGCCACUCCUCUGUGGUGUAGUGAGUAGUCAGUCACAUAGCUUUCUGUUACCCUGGAGGUCCUCUCCUCUGUGGUGUAGUGAGCAGUCACAGUCACAUAGCUUUCUGUUACCCUGGAGGUCCUCUCCUCUGUGGUGUAGUGAGCAGUCACAGUCACAUAGCUUUCUGUUACCCUGGAGGUCCACUCCUCUGUGGUGUAGUGAGCAGUCACAGUCACGUAGCUUUCUGUUAUCCUGGAGGUCCUCUCCUCUGUGGUGUAGUGAGUAGUCACAUAGCUUUCUGUUACCUGGAGGUCCACUCCUCUGUGGUGUAGUGAGCAGUCACAGUCACGUAGCUUUCUGUUAUCCUGGAGGUCCUCUCCUCUGUGGUGUAGUGAGUAGUCACAUUGCUUUCUGUUACCCUGGAGGCCCACUCCUCUGUGGUGUAGUGAACAGUCACAUUGCUUUCUGUUACCCUGGAGGUCCUCUCCUCUGUGGUGUAGUGAGUAGUCACGUAGCUUUCUGUUACCCUGGAGGUCCUCUCCUCUGUGGUGUAGUGAUCAGUCACGUAGCUUUCCGUUACCCUGGAGGCCCACUCCGCUGUGGUGUAGUGAGUAGUCACAUAGAUUUCUGUUAUCCUGGAGGGCCACUCCUCUGUGGUGUAGUGAGUAGUCACAGUCACAUAGCUUUCCGUUACCCUGGAGGGCCACUCCUCUGUGGUGUAGUGAACAGUCAGUCACAUAGCUUUCUGUUACCUGGAGGUCCACUCCUCUGUGGUGUAGUGAGCAGUCACAGUCACAUAGCUUUCUGUUAUCCUGGAGGUCUUCUCCUCUGUGGUGUAGUGAGCAGUCAGUCAUGUAGCUUUCUGUUACCCUGGAGGUCCACUCCUCUGUGGUGUAGUGAGUAGUCACAUAGCUUUCUGUUACCUGGAGGUCCUCUCCUCUGUGGUGUAGUGAGCAGUCACAGUCACGUAGCUUUCUGUUACCCUGGAGGUCCUCUCCUCUGUGGUGUAGUGAGUAGUCAGUCACAUAGCUUUCUGUUACCCUGGAGGUCCACUCCUCUGUGGUGUAGUGAACAGUCACAGUCACGUAGCUUUCUGUUACCCUGGAGGUCCAGUCCUCUGUGGUGUAGUGAACAGUCACAGUCACGUAGCUUUCCGUUACCCUGGAGGUCCACCCGUCUGAGGUGAGGGCAACAGAGGUUGCCUUGGAUAAUUCUUAGACAAUUUUGCUGUUCAUAAAGACCUGGCACGAUCUUCAUAGUGAAGUGGAUGCUCCAGGGGAUUUCGUAGCACGACUCAAGCACUUUCACCAUAUUUUUAAACCCUUUGUUUUCCACAACAGAGUUGACCUCAUGUCUGCAGCGUUAAAACAUCCCAAUAGAUUUGGUGAUGACUUCAGCCCGGUCUGAUUCGGCAGCAAAGGGCUGCUUAAAUGCCGCGGUGAGAAGUUGUUGUCUCUUGGCUGAGUUGGCUCCCGUCACUGACACACCGGGGUGAUGACGCUUUAAAUGUGUGGCCAUGUUCCAUGUAUUUCCAUGAUCGUACGGCUCCACCCUUCUUCCGGCAUCAUAUUUGACCGGGAAGCCAAAAUGCUCCCAUACAUGAGACUUAAAUGAAGCGGGAGGCUUUUCCAGUUCUUCAGCUCCUCCCACUAGCCAUGUCUGUCACUGCUCUUUUUCUUCUUUGCUUUUUGCAAUGUGAGCCUCCAGGAUUGAUUAGUUGGGAUUCAACCCCGUUCACAUGAACAGUACAAACAACUGCUUUAAAAAAAUAAAUCAAAUCAACCUUCAGGCUUCAGAGUAAAACACGGCACACAUUUGUCUUGUCUUUAUCAUAUCACUGCAACUCUGCAAUUAUUACUUUCAAAAGUAACAGCGUCAGUGAAACUGUAUUUUACACUAUGAUGGUUAAACUUUGCAAUUGAUCAGCGGUUCACAUGCGUGGGGGGUGAUCCAUAUGGAUCAACUACGGUCCAUAACACCACUAGUUACACUACACCGUCCACUGCAAUACACACACACACACAGGAGAGGGCAGAGGGGGAGGAUAAAGAGAUGGAGAGAGAGAGGUAGGGAAGGACAGCAGGAGAGUGUAGAGGGAGAUAGAGUAGGGAGGAAAGGAGGCGGGGGAGGGAGGAAAUGGGGAGGGAUUGGGAGUGGAGUGUGGAGCGAGAGAGAGUGAAAGAGAGAGGGAGAGGAGGUCAGGUAGGGGUGAGCCUGUAGAGGAAGUGGAGACAAGAAAUAUUUGAGAAGGAAGAGAGGAGUCCAGGAUGAGAUGAAACACAGAAAAACAGGAUGAGAAACACACAUCCGUGAGAGGAAAAAGGAUGACGACACCGGGUGACCCAACAUAUAAAUCAUGACACACACAGGAGAGCAACAACCAAAAAUAAGUCUGUUCAGUUGUGUAAACUAGUGGAGGUUUAGCAACUGUGUACACCUCAACUCGCUCACUAAAUGACCUAAUCCUGUAUCAAAGUUAAAUAGAAAUAUAAUGUUACUAUCCAAACCCAAUACUUCAAAUAGUACAAAAGACAGAUUUGAUUUAUUAAGGUUACAGUUGAUCUAGUUACCAUCCAUGAGCCGGGGAUCCGUCCUGUAGUAUGUACACAUAGCAACAUAUCUCUGACAUUGAAAGAUGUAACCAAGACUCAAAGGACAUCCAGCUAGUUAGCUUUGGGAUAACUCCUUCACUACCCAGUCGAUAGUAUGACUAGUAGCUAGCUAGGCUACUACACUUGACUUACAUUUCACGGGCUGUGGGUUCGACUGUUUUCUCCUCGGCAUUCUUCCUCUUCUUUGUCUGCCUCGCUGUCCUGUCCGUCAGUCAGUCGCUGUUCCCGCUGUGGUCUGGUGUCUCAGUCAGCACGUCAAUCCCUUUACUCUGUCAUCUUCCUCUUCCUCCAACGGACAAAAGCAGAAGUAUCAGUGCCAUCGAUCAAACACACGAGUUAGCUAGCUAAAUAUGUGCGGGGAACUGGCUGGCUUAGUUUGCCAUUCUAAAUCGUUAGUCAAACCGAGAACAUCAUUAGCUAAGUAACUCUAUUAAAACACAUUGAGCUAUAGGAGAGAAAUUGGGCAGAUGAAAGCUAAUCCUCUAACGUUACCUAGCUAGCUAACGUUACAUAUAGCUCAACUAUCUAGCGUUCAUUAUUUAGGAGAAAACAAAUAGUAAAUUACGUCUAUACGUUUGAUGAAAUGCAAAGGCUACAUAGAUAUCAACUUAAGUUGUCGUUUAGAAAAACAACUACAACCUCUUACUCACUUCCUCGAAGGUCCAUUGUGUACAUACAGCAAUUUCCUGGAGCGUGUCGUCAGAGUCAUUCCAAACUACUUCCGGAUCUUGGGGCUUGUAGUUUUUCAAAUGUAGUCAGCGAACUUUGUACUGUUGCAAUUAUCACAACCACACACUACAGAGCCAACAAACGUUGACUUUUUUUUAAAAGAAAAAAUCAAAUGUAUUUUUUUUUUCAUUAGCCUCUCUGUGUAAUAUUAAUGUAAAGUUUAAGCUAAUUGUGCGCGCAAAUUACAGCACAUAUCCUAUCCUCUGCCGGUCACAGAGAUCAUUCAGUGGCAUCAUUUGAAAAAAUAAAAAAAUCUGUAUUUACCUGAUACUGUGUUUGACCACAAGGGGGAAUCACUGGUCGGGAGUUUUGUUUUGUUUGUUGCUCCUGAUAGAUGAGCAACUUGGACUGGAAGUUAGGAUAUUUGUAAUGUUAUGUUAUAGGUUACUGAUAGAGGAGCAGCAUGGAAACAGCUUUUAAGAAUCACAGGAGAUUAAGUUGUUUCCCUUUGACUGCCUAUGGAACAUAUGCGCUGCUUCUCCUAAUCCAAUUAUGUGUUUAUACAAAGCAAAUCAAAUUAUUUUUAUUUAUUUAUGUAUUUUUAUUAUUAUUCUUCUUUUUUUUAAAUACACUGGGGAAAAUAAGCGACACCUGGAGUGUGUGGAGACAAUCACAAGGACAGGUGAAACAGAUCAGGGCGAGACACCCAGAGUUACCUCUGCUGCAGACGAUAAGUUCAUUAGAGUUAACUGCACCUCCUUCAAGGCUGUUGGAAAAGCAUUCCAGAAAUUAGGCUUGUCACCAAAAGCACUCACAGACUUCUACAGAUGCACAAUCGAGAGCAUCCUGUCGGGCUGUAUCACCGCCUGGUACGGCAACUGCUCCGCCCUCAACCGUAAGGCUCUCCAGAGGGUAGUGAGGUCUGCACAACGCAUCACCGGGGGCAAACUACCUGCCCUCCAGGACACCUACACCACCCGAUGUUACAGGAAGGCCAUAAAGAUCAUCAAGGACAUCAACCACCCGAGCCACUGCCUGUUCACCCCGCUAACAUCCAGAAGGCGAGGUCAGUACAGGUGCAUCAAAGCUGGGACCGAGAGACUGAAAAACAGCUUCUAUCUCAAGGCCAUCAGACUGUUAAACAGCCACCACUAACAUUGAGUGGCUGCUGCCAACACACUGUCAUUGACUGACCCAACUCCAGCCACUUUAAUAAUGGGAAUUGAUGGGAAAUUAUGUAAAUAUAUCAUAUAGCCACUUUAAACAAUGCUACCUUAUAUAAAGUUACUUACCCUACAUUAUUCAUCUCAUAUGCAUACGUAUAUACUGUACUCUAUAUCAUCGACUGCAUCCUAUGUAAUACAUGUAUCACUAGCCACUUUAACUAUGCCACUUUGUUUACUUUGUCUACAUACUCAUCUCAUAUGUAUAUACUGUACUCGAUACCAUCUACUGUAUGCUGCCCUGUACCAUCACUCAUUCAUAUAUCCUUAUGUACAUAUUCUUUAUCCCCUUACACUGUGUAUAAGACAGUAGUUUUGGAAUUGUUAGUUAGAUUACUUGUUGGUUAUCACUGCAUUGUCGGAACUAGAAGCACAAGCAUUUCGCUACACUCGCAUUAACAUCUGCUAACCAUGUGUAUGUGACAAAUAAAAUUUGAUUUGAUUUGAUUUGA